rnacentral:sRNA from 1 species
GUUAACCCAGGGAAGGCAGUGGCAAGAUGGCGUCCCUGGAUCGGGUGAAGGUACUGGUGUUGGGAGACUCAGAGAUAAAAAAGAUGCAUAAGAACCCUCAAGGAACUUAAAAUUAAGGGAGUGGUUCCAAGAUGGCCGAUUAGGAAUAGCUCCAGUCUACAGCUCCCAGCGUGAGCGACGCAGAAGACGGGUGAUUUCUGCAUUUCUAACGAGGUGUUGGGAAAUCUUCAUUAGUCCAUCUCCUAUGCCAAAAUCAAGUGCUGGGAAAUCCAUCAUGGACCGUGGGCUGCUCAGUGGAUGUCAGAGUUCAUGAUUACAAAGAAGGAACCCCAGAAGAGAAGACCUACUACAUAGAAUUGUGGGAUGUUGGAGGCUCUGUGGGCAGUGCCAGCAGCGUGAAAAGCACAAGAGCAGUGUUCUACAACUCUGUAAAUGGUAUUAUUUUCGUACAUGACUUAACAAAUAAGAAGUCCUCCCAAAACUUGCGUCGUUGGUCAUUGGAAGCUCUGAACAGGGAUUUGGUGCCAACUGGAGUCUUGGUGACAAAUGGGGAUUAUGAUCGAGAACAGUUUGCUGAUAACCAAAUACCGCUGUUGGUAAUAGGGACUAAACUGGACCAGAUUCAUGAAACAAAGCGCCAUGAAGUUUUAACUAGGACUGCUUUCCUGGCUGAGGAUUUCAAUCCAGAAGAAAUUAAUUUGGACUGCACAAAUCCACGGUACUUAGCUGCAGGUUCUUCCAAUGCUGUCAAGCUCAGUAGGUUUUUUGAUAAGGUCAUAGAGAAGAGAUACUUUUUAAGAGAAGGUAAUCAGAUUCCAGGCUUUCCUGAUCGGAAAAGAUUUGGGGCAGGAACAUUAAAGAGCCUUCAUUAUGACUGAAUUACACUCAUCCUUUGGAAGAGUGAGCAAGCAGUGGCAGUUUUUCACAGCUCCUCUUGCUGUGUUCAAUUAUUACCAUCACAGCCUUUUAACAAAAUCAUCUUAAAAUGCUACCCUUCAGCCUUAC